UUAUCGGGUAUUUCCGUGCAGUAAUGCAGUAUGGCGUACAUCUCUAACGGAAAGAGAAUGGACGUCUUUCUUGUGUGGAUGGAUUCAGAGAUGACCCCAGAGAUGCGGCAAUGACUGUGGCACAUGUACGUUAUAGAUAGUGACUGUAAAGAAAUGUUGAAAGCAGAAAAAGGAAACUAUCUUGAUAUGGUUUUCUGGUGUUAAAUUAGCUGACAAAGUGUUCAUAAUUUGUCGGAAAAUAGUGUCAAAGCUGAAAUCUGUUCUGCAAAUUCAAGAUAAAGUGAUGAACUGGAGUGAUUUUACAUAAAUAUAACAAGAAGGACAAUUUUGUUGUGGACCGUGACCUAGAAGUGAAAACCAGAUUUUUAAAAAAUAACUUGGCUGAUAUGCAAGUUGAACAGUAAUGAAAUUUCACACAAAUGUUCCUGAGGCUAUAGGCACCUCGUUUCAAAAAGGUUUUUACCAAGUUGCUGCUUGGGACAAUAAAGUUAAGUCAGCUACCGUCUACCGGACUGCAAGCUUCAUCACUUCCAAAGGAUGUCAUACCUUUCCAGAAACACUGUGUUGUGUGUGGAUAAGAAAUGCCGAGUGGUACCACCAGUCACCUAAGCCACCUAACAGACCAAAGGCUCAUGGAGACAGUCCCUGCAGUUAACAGCAAAGCUCUCAAUUGCAGCCCUACAAACUUCAGGUACUGCCGAGGGCGUAGCUUGGGUGCACGGGGCUGGUUUUCCAGCUGUGUUGAAUCAACAUCUCCAGCUGAACUGGGGCCGGGAAUUAUAUAAGACUCCUCAGCAGCACGAGUGCCAGCCAGUCGUUGCCAUUCCUUACAUUGCUGAGGAGGACAGUCCUGCCAACAUAACAGUUCGUUCAAUAACAGGUAAAGAACGGAUCGAUGAUUUCCUGGAUAUGGACAAGACCCACUCCCUGCAGGGAUUAAACAGAAUAAAGCAGUUUUGAAAAACAAGAACAAAACUUUUUAAUGAAAACAAAACACUUUCAUUAGAAAGCACAGAAGAAAAAAGCAGCAAUGACGAUACACUGAAGUGAUUGGAGUUUCACCACGAUAUGAUACCAAAAAGAAAGUCAUCAAGUCGGUCGGUUUGGCAGGUGGUCUGUGCAAAAGUGCAAAAAAAUUGUGACGCAAACCAAAAUACUUAGACUAAAGUUUUCAAGAUACUGUCUUUGAACUUUAAAUAUAAGUUCGCAUGAACUGAAGAUGUAUUUGACAUAUUUAUGAUAUGGAUCAGUCCAAUAUUUGUUAGACGUGGGAAAGAUUCGUAAAUAUUUCAAGAUGCAAACAAGUAAUCAUUUUCAAGACAAUAAUUAAUUAUAAAUAUUUAAAAGAUACAUACUGUGGAAGAACUUUUUAUAAAUUAUUAUUCACAUUAGAUAAGAAAAAUCUGGAGUCAGUUUGAUCUGUACCUAGAGCAAGCUAUAAUAUGCAAAUAAAGUAACUUUAUUAUUCAUAUAAAUUUAGUCUGAUGCCUUGAUUAACAAGUGUGAAAUAAAUAGCACAACAGCUACAUAUUUGUUUGACUGACCACUGUGCACACACUGUGAUAUAUAGCCAUGGAUAUUAAAGUGAACAUUAAAGCUGCACUCUCACAAAUUGGCAGUUUUGACCUUUUUUUAUUUUUUUGUCUCAGAAUCUAUAUAAUCAUAUAAUGAUAACACAACUUUGGUCUUUCCAGGAUUAGUGUGUCACUUUGUAGGUAAAUACACAUGCAAGUAUAAAACUGACAGGAAAUUUUGGAUAUUUGCACAGUAACCACAACAUUAUGUCAUACAUGUUGUAUUCAUCAAAAGCUAAUGUAGCUUUAAAAUCUGUGUGUAAUUUUCCACCAUUCUGUUAACUACAUGCUGCAUUGUUGCUACAGUUAUAGUGAAUUUUCCAUACAAAUUGAGAUCGAGUUUCAAAGAGACAAUACAUAAAUCAGUCAACAAUUCAUUAAAUGGAGAUUUUUUUUGCAUUGAUGAGAUAUGGUUGCACCCAGAUCUAGAAUAUUGGAGCCUUAGGCCAUAAUAAUACAAACACCUUGUCAUAAACACAAACAUCAUUCAAUAUAAUAAUUAUUUUAAGAUAUUUGGUAACAUGAGUGCUUAAUUAUUACAUUGUGUCAAAGUUUUUUGGCUGUUCAGUAAAUAUUUCUAAAUAAAUUCCGGUGUUUAUUAUUUUCUAAAACCAAAAUAGGUUUUCUACUGGCAUGGACAGGCAUAGGAUAGCAUAGUAUGAACAGA